ACAGUUCUCCAAUGAUAAAGCAGAGGGUGUUCAGGAGGAGUAUGAUGAUGUGAAGAAUGUCAGAGAAUAUAUGACUGACAUGUUUGACUAUGAUGAUGUGGAGGAGGAUCCAGGAAGAGAGGCAGGAGCUGUUUAACU